AAUAAUUCCUGGGCCGCCGUUAACGACACCUUCUUCCUCACCAAUGGUAUUCAUUGCGCCAUUUCCAUGAUGAAAAGGUUGAACAAAGGCUUGAAUCAAUUGAAAAAGCUGUGA